rnacentral:rRNA from 1 species
GUAGGUGGCAAGCGUUGUCCGGAAUUAUUGGGCGUAAAGCGCGCGCAGGUGGUUCUUUAAGUCUGAUGUGAAAGCCCCCGGCUCAACCGGGGAGAGUCAUUGGAAACUGGGGAACUUGAGUGCAGGAGAGGAAAGUGGAAUUCCACGUGUAGCGGUGAAAUGCGUAGAUAUGUGGAGGAACACCAGUGGCGAAGGCGACUUUCUGGCCUGUAACUGACACUGAGGCGCGAAAGCGUGGGGAGCAAACAGGGAUUAGAUACCCUGGUAGUCCACGCCGUAAACGAUGAGUGCUAAGUGUUGGGGGGGGUUUCCGCCCCCUCAGUGCUGCAGCUAACGCAUUAAGCACUCCGCCUGGGAGUACGGUCGCAAGACUG